rnacentral:rRNA from 1 species
GAUGAACGCUAGCGGCAGGCCUAAUACAUGCAAGUCGGACGGGAUCAGGGAGCUUGCUCCCUGUGAGAGUGGCGCACGGGUGCGUAACACGUAUGUAACCUACCUUUAUCAGGGGGAUAGCCUCUCGAAAGAGAGAUUAACACCGCAUAACAUCACGAUGAAGCAUUUCAAUGUGAUCAAAUAUUUAUAGGAUAAAGAUGGGCAUGCGGGACAUUAGCUAGUUGGCGGGGUAACGGCCCACCAAGGCUACGAUGUCUAGGGGAUCUGAGAGGAUGCCCCCCCACACUGGUACUGAGACACGGACCAGAAUCCGACGGGAGGCAGCAGUAAGGAAUAUUGGUCGAUGGACGCAAGUCUGAACCAGCCAUGCCGCGUGCAGGAAGACGGCCCUACGGGUUGUAAACUGCUUUUGUACCGGAAUAAACCUUUUCACGUGUGAGAAGCUGAAUGUACGGUAAGAAUAAGGAUCGGCUAACUCCGUGCCAGCAGCCGCGGUAA